rnacentral:snRNA from 1 species
GCACUUUGGCACCACAUAAACUAAAAUUGGAACGAUACAGAGAAGAUGAGCUCAAGAAUGACAUGCAAAUUCAUGAAGCGUCCCGUAUUUUU